AUCCAUUUGACGAGUCCCAAAUAGGGUGAAACACACGUCCGGGAU
rfam:Schistosoma rodhaini strain Burundi genome assembly, scaffold: SROB_scaffold0002364